rnacentral:rRNA from 1 species
CGUUAGUUCUGUUUUUCAGAGUUAGUGUCGUAGCUAACGCGAUAAGUGAUCCGCCUGGGGACUACGGUCGCAAGAUUAAAACUCAAAGGAAUUGACGGGGGUCCGCACAAGCGGUGGAACAUGUGGUUUAAUUCGACAAUACGCGAGGAACCUUACCUAGACUUGACAUGCUUCUGACAGUCGUAGAAAUACGAUCUUUCGGGUUUCGGCUCGGACAGUUGCACAGGUGCUGCAUGGUUGUCGUCAGCUCGUGUCGUGAGAUGUUUGGUUAAGUCCUCUAACGAGCGCAACUCCUACCGUUAGUUGCAACUUUUUAAGGCACUCUAACGGAACUGCCUGGGAAACCAGGAGGAAGGUGGGAAUGACGUCAAAUCAUCAUGGUCCUUAUGUCUAGGGCUACACACGUGUUACAAUGGCCAGUACAACGGGUUGCUAACCUGCAAAGGUAUGCUAAUCUCUUAAAGCUGGUCUAAGUUCGGAUUGAGGUCUGCAACUCGACCUCAUGAAGUUGAAAUCGCUAGUAAUCGCGCAUCAGCAACGGCGCGGUGAAUACGUUCUCGGGCCUUGUACACACCGCCCGUCACACCACGAAAGUUCUUUGUACCCGAAGUCACCUUAGCUAACCUGUAAAGGGGGCGGGUGCCUAAGGUAUGGAGGAUGAUUGGGGUGAAGUCGUAACAAGGUAGCCG